rnacentral:lncRNA from 1 species
GCCGUGGGUUUGGGGUUCCUCGACUGUGCAUGAAGGCGCACGAGGAAGCUCAGAAAAGCUUCAGAGCCUCAAAAGCUUAGAUCUGGCGAGCUCGAUGCCUCAAAGUGCCUCAGGAGCUUGGAUCCGAUGAGCUCGGCUUGCGUGGGAAGGAGCUCGUGAUCGCCAACCUAGCGGACUCAGCGUCGGAGGCACGUGAGCGCACGGGAGGAAUGGACGGAGGCUCGAAAUUGCUCGCGGGUGAGUUCUCCACGACUAAUGGAGCUGAGACGCAGGCGUGGCGAGCUCCUAAGAGAUCGAGAGCACCACAGAAGGUGGAUCUGGGCAAGGUCAGUGUCAGAGGUAGGGCACAAGCGGGGGAGCACUUUGAGAACCCAGAUCCGACGGCUUCGAAGCGGCCAGUGUCGUCGAAUGGAGGCACGGGAGGCUCGAAUACCCAGACCCGAUGAGGUUAGAGGGGCUGGCAUCGUCGGAGAGGGAGACCUUACCAUUGAUCAUCAUUGCCCACAUCGGAGAAAGAGGAGGCGCCGCCUCCUAGCGGUGGGCCCUGCGUCCCAAGGUCUCUUCUCAGGCAAUGGGGA